CAGAUUAAGUUCUCAAUUAGUCCUAAUUAACAGCAUUUACCCAAACUAAUAUCACAGUUAACGCAAAACAGAAUCAAAAGGGGAUUAGGGUUCGUACGCUCGCGGCUAUUGGACUUUUGAACGCACAACCUCUCUUCCUCUUGUUCACGACGGCGCCGCUCACUUUCGAUCAACCAAUCAACACCGCCGCACGCGGCCUCCUCCUCUCUAUCAAUUCCGUGCUCAUCUCUCUCAUCUCUCUGAUCUCUCUAAUCUCUGCUCACAUCAUCUCCGAUUCAUCUCCCUCCUCCGCCGUGUACACACAACCAUGAAUCGUCCCCGCCUCUCCUCUUUUCAAUCCUCUGCUCAGUCCUCAUCUCAACCGGAGGCAGAGUCCGGUGAUCCUUCGUUCUCGAUGAAGAUGAAGAAAGAAAUACGACGAGAAGUCUCGGGUGUGCUUUGCCUUCAAUUAUUCUUCUUCUUGAAUUACUCUAUCACUUCGGAUUUGGAUGCGAUGAUGAAGUAUUGGUAGUUGUUCGCAGACGAAGGCGUAUCGUAGUUGUCGAAGGUGCGAGAAUGAUCGGUGAAGAUUACAGUUGCGUGAAGGAUAUAUUGCACAGAUGCAAUCGGUGAUGAUGCAGAAGCGCGAAUCGAAGAGAAUCGAAUUGAAGAUGAUUGAUGAUGUGAAGAUUGUUACGUAUAUCCAAAUCGCGGUGUUGAGGAGUUGAAUUCACAGGCACUGUGAGAGCGACAUUGAAGUGGCGAUGGAACGAUUCGUAACUGAUUCUUCUUGUGCAAUUUUCAGGUGAAUGAAUGAUCGAAGAUGAUGUUGUAGUGAUUGAAGCGAUGUCGCGGCGAAAGUUGAAUGAAGAUUUUUCUGCUAUCGUUUUUCUAUUGAUGAAGAAGAAUUUGUUACAAUUUUUGGUUCUGAACUUCUGAGUUUGGAUCGGGAGAGAAUUGAAGAAUUGAUGAUGAGGUGAUGAAGGUUGAGAUUGUGGUGAUGAAGAAUGAAGAUUGAAGAAACGGUGGUGAUGAAUGAAUGAUUGGUUAUCGUUCUGAGAUGAUAAAGAAGGUGAAGUUUGUUUGGAGAAUUCAGGCUCGAGAGAGAAAGAUGAAGAAAUUGGUGUCAAGAUGAAGAUGAGCAAUGAAGUCCCCAGAUCGAAAAAGUUGAAGAGUGUCAAGAAUCCAUGGAGAGAGUAUCUUGAAGAUGAUGAAGUUUUGGAAAGGUGAAUCAAUGAAGAUGAUGAAUCCCGGUUCCGAGAGCCCGAGAGAUAUGAAGUUUUGUUACGUUUUCUUUUGUAUAAUCUCUUUUUUUUUUGGAUUUCGGUUACCAUUUCCUGUAAUAAUUUUCACUUGGAUUUUUUAUUCCAUCCUCUUUUCACUUAUUUUGGUAUAAUAUGACUUGGGCUUCUGAAUUGUUAUGGUCUUUUGUAUAACUUGAUGACGGAUUCUGAAUAUUUGGAAAUUGGACUUGGCUUUAUGAAUAAAGUUGAAUGAUGAAUAACAUUUGAAUGAUGAUAUGAACGUAACAUUGUGAGCCUUGUAGUCAUCCUUAUGAACAACUCGAUAAUCUUGCAAGUUUAAAACUUCAUACCAUCUUGAACAAAAUGCGAAGUUAUGGAAACACCCGAAUCAAAUUCAAAUCCAAUCAACCUACAUUCCUAAUGAAUUCUCAGCUUCAGUCUCAAAUGAUCUCACAUUAUAAGCAUCAAGUCAUAAGCAUUUGAGAGAACAAAUAAUUACCCUGAUCGCCACUUCACUUCUUUACGCCAUGAUUUGCAUUCGAACUCUAAUCCGACAUAACAAUAACAUCUUAAGAAACCCUUGAAGAAUAUAAGAAUUGAAGCACACAAGAAUAUCC